CAAUCAUCAAGCGUUCCCCUUCCGUCUUGAACUCGCUGCCCACGUCCAGCAGUUAUCGUUCUCCUACCACUCGAAUCCUGAUCACUCUUUGGUGGUUGUCCGAUUUUAUCGAAGGUGGAUCUCGCCACUGCAGAACAGGGAAAUCCUCGGACUAACCAGUUUUUGAUUCGGACCAUACGUGCGCACAGAACGUUCAAAGCUCAAUAUCAACCCUGUUGACAUCGACGGGGUCGCUACUGACCCCAUGCCCACGUAAAAGUCAAGUUCCUCGGAUGGAAAAAGAUUGAUGUAUGCUGAAAAUUAAAGCUGACAAUGAGAUACAGCACUGUUCGAUGAUAAAGCAAGCAUUAAAAACAGCGGGAAAAGCUAAUUUCGAACUGUCUUCGUUAUACUUUUUUGUAUUCAUGUAUUGUAAAAUUUUCAUGCAACGAAGGUAUCGCAUUCGCACUUGUGCCAUAAUGCAGUUCUCGUGGUGUCCAGAAAUAAACGCUUUCGCACCUGUACGAAGUUCAUUACUGCCAACGAGAUACAAUAGUUGUUAUUUUUUACUUUCAAAUCUGAAUUGCGAUAAUGUAGAAGAAAAAGGUGGAAAGAUGCAGUCUGAAGAAAUUACCAAUUUUUAUCGUAUUAUCAUAUGAUAUUGCCACGAAAAGUGUCGCAGUUGAUUCCAUCAACGUUAUUAUGACGUACGUCACUUCGAAAUUCACACCUAAAAGAUCAAGGUAUACGAAUUAUUUCGUCGGUUGAUUGCGUCCGUAUUCUUCGCGAUAAUAUUUGGAGAAGAAGUUGCAGGAAGUUCUGAAUGAUUUCAAUAACUAUCGCACGCCAAGCUUCCCAUUAUCAAAACUCAUAUCUCUGAUGAAUUCAUUAUAACGCUGAUCGAUAUCAUUCGAAUCAAGUUUUUUCCCUGGAAUUCAAAUCCGUGAAAAUUACGUCAGCAGCGAUGAUAUUAUCGUUUAAUAUAUUGGAGUGAAAUAUAAAUUAGAUAAUUUCAAUUCUAUAUCGAGUUUGAAAAAGUUCGACUAUUAUUUGAAUUUCCGCCAUUUGUGUCUUUUUAGAAACACUUUUUUACAGAUAUUUUUUUCAGAACUUUGACGAUUAAUUGUGCACUCAUCCUUUCGAUGCCUAAUAGUUCCAGAUUCACACACCCGGUCAACUAGAUAUAAAUCAAAAAAAUUCAAGGUCGAUAUAUUUCUUACAAACUCCAACAACAUAAAUAAAUUAAUCACUGUAAGCACGUGAAACCGGAGAUCAGUAUUCAACCGCUUUAUGAACAUGAACUAAAUUUUAGAACGUAACGUUCGGGCUUUGUAAGUUAUAAAAAUCUUGUAGUGACGAAGAAGAUUUGGGUCAACGAUUUCAAACCAAUUUUGGUAGAAAAGAAAAGAUGUUUGAUCCAUAGCAAUCGAUGAACACAGACAUGGGUUCAUUAAAAUACGUUUGACGUGAUACAUUUGUUAGGUCAUAAAUUAUUAAUGUAUAGAAUAGCCGUCCAAUGCUCAUUAUCAUUUGAAAUAUUUUCUUGUUUUUUGUCUUGUUACGAGACUUGAGAUACUCAUAAAAAAAUUCUUGAACUUCCUCCAGAUAUUUUCAGGUUUUUUAUCUUAUGGAUACACAUGUCGAGGAGUAACGUGUAGUAUUUAACUAACAUUAAUGCCACACUCCUAUGAUAAGAUGGGCUGUCUUUUGUAUUUGAACGCAUGAAUAAUUAAUACCCUUUAACAAAAUCAUUGACCCUUCAAUUAAACACAGUUGAGCUUUCGCUCCAUGAUAUUUUCGACGAUUAACUUUAUUCCAAGGUUUUUUUAGCUUAUAAAAUAAAUUUGUGGAUAGAGGAAUAAAAAACACAGAAGUUUGCUUAAUUUGCCGCAGAAUUUCAAGCUCUCAAAAUCACUGCGGUCUGUCUGUCUGAGAGACAGCAAUAGCGUAUUUUGCCAAGGAAGGGUUGAUUUCGGAUACACUGCUGAAAUCAAAUAAUGGGCUUAAAUAUUUAAGAAGAGUGAGGUAAAGCGGUGCAAGAAUAAUGCUAAAUGAAUUGGGAAGUUGAAGACAUAAUAUUCGGUUGUCUCUAGGCAAAUCUGAUCGUUCUUCAGAAAGUAUACAUUGCCCCCGGUGUCAUUUUCUGUGGAACGGCCCAAUCUAUCCGGUGGUCCGACUUAUACAGUUUCAAUCUUCGCCGUAUCAAAAUAUUCAUUUGAUGUCCCACUUUUUCAGAGAGUUAUUUUCCUUCGCCAGCUGAUCAAAUCUCGAAUGGCAACAAAAUAAAAAAUUCCAUCAUUCUCUUAAACCGGUACAAUGCCUAUAAUUAACAAGGAUGAGUAGACGUGUCGUAAAACUUCUCGAUCCGUUAUGUUAGGUGCUUGUACCGAACGUAAAUCGUUUUUUUUUUCACCAUCGCGUGCAAUUUUUUUCAUUAUUUGGUGAUAUUUUUUUUUACUUCAAAUCAACAUUUCGGCACAUUUUUACGUCUUGAUCGGCGAAAUUCGAAAGAUACGUCACUGAUCUUCUAGUGUAAUUAGAAUGUUCAAUCAGCGAUGUAAUUAUUAAACUAUGUAAUUUCAGGAUCAUCAGGAUCAGUGGAUUCACUGACAAUGAGAUCAAUGUCUUCUCAGGAUUGUUACGCAUAAUCUUAUCGUGACGAAAAUAAACCGCGAAGGUUCCUUUUUUAUUAUUUCCUGCUCGACACAUGAAACAGAAAGAUCUUAUAAUCGUUCUAAAAGUAAAAAGUGGAAUCAACGAUUAUUGAUCAUUGCGGAAACGGAAAAGUUGUAUAAAAUUCCUUCAUUAAACCAUGAAUCCGAAAUAAUUCGGAAGUUGUCUAUCCGGCAGAUUUAAGACAAACGACAAACUUGUUGAACAUUAUAUAUUACAUGCAUCAACUAUAACACAGCGCUCACGGUAACAAUUUUCUAGUGUUAUACUUGUUUACCCACGAUUAAUUAGUUCUUUGAAUUUUCAUUGGAACUGAUUCUCUUGUAAAGUGUGUACAAUACGAUUACGCCAUUCACGAUUUGACGUGCACGUUAGAAUUCUAUUUUAAUUACCUGAUAUGUUUCGAUGCAAAUAUUGUUGUAAAAUAAAUUCGAGAAAUCCACGUGUUGCGUCUUGACGGUCUUAAUGACUCAUAGUUUAUUAGCAACGCUGUUUUGUUUGAGAAAUUUCAUUUUACCUAUUCGAGGUGAAGUUGAGGGUUACAAUUAAUGUCAAGUUCAAAAACUGGCAUAAAGUGUCUAAACAAGACUUGUGCAUUCAUCACGGGUGCGUGUGAAGUGAACUAAAUUGUAAGUACUGUGCUUUCUUUGUCAUAGCGGUCAAUGAGUAUAAUUAAUUCCGUAAGUUUUUCCAUCUAGUUUGAAUAUGAAUAAGGAAAAUGAAAUGAAGUAACAAAACAUUGUCGAACAAUACACUCGUUUGGGUUGCAUACUUAUAAAACAUUUAUUGGAUAUAAAUAAUGAGCGUAUACAGAAGGAAAAAAAAAACAGUUUGUAUACAAUUCAAAGUUUAACAAGUCUUAUUUCUAUUCUUAAAGUUAUAACAGAUAGUAAAAUCGAUCGUGUAACAAAAACAUUUAUCAACAUUAAAAGUUAUUUUUUGUUUUUUCUUUUCAAAAUUUUUACUUAUAAAUCAGAUACCUCUUUCUAGAUAAAUAAAAAUUACUUGUGAUUUCGACGUCAUUCUAUACAUAUAAACAAUGAUU